UACGGAGGGUGCAAGCGUUAUCCGGAUUCACUGGGUUUAAAGGGUGCGUAGGUGGGAAUGUAAGUCAGUGGUGAAAUCUCCGUGCUUAACAUGGAAACUGCCAUUGAUACUAUGUUUCUUGAAUUUUCUGGAGGUAAGCGGAAUAUGUCAUGUAGCGGUGAAAUGCUUAGAUAUGACAUAGAACACCAAUUGCGAAGGCAGCUUGCUACGGGGAUAUUGACACUGAGGCACGAAAGCGUGGGGAUCAAACAGG
rnacentral:rRNA from 1 species